GCAGUUUGGCUUCUGAUGUUGUGAAGUGCCAAAUCACUCUGCACUGAUAGUGGUGGGGCCAUACAUGUGAGCCCAGAGCUGGCUGGCCCAUUGUAAAGUGAGGUCAUCAAACCACCCGACACUGUGCAGAAUGAGCAUUUACAGAAGGUCUGGAGAAGUGAGGAUGGGACCUGGAGCUGUGGUGAAAUUACUGCAGAUAGAUCUGUGGCCUUUUCCUGUUGUGCGUCUCUGUCUAAGGAUGAAGACACCUAACGGAGUAGGGCCCAAGGAGAGGAGGAUGGACAGAUCAUCCGAGAUUGCUCAGACAGAUCAAGAAUCACGGCAAAUGGAAGAAGGUCUGUCAGUGUUACCUGGAGAAUCCUCCUCGAGCUGGAACUUCAUAGAAUGAGGAACAUAUGGACACAUACCAAAAGACUGUUUUCAUACUAAAUCCAUUUGAACAGAAGACAGCUGUGCUCCCUAAUGCAGACAUGGACCACAGUAUAUAGAGAUUAGGUGUUUAUUCCAGGGUCACAGAGGAAUUUGGUAGCAGAGCUGGUAAAUGGGUAGGACCCCAGGUCAAUUUCAUGCCAUGAUACCACCUUUCUUCUAAUUCUACUGCAUUAAAGUUACUAAACCUGCCUCACUUUUUGUUGUGCCAAACCUACUGCAGGAUCAAAGAAAGCAUAUACCUAAGUGCAUGAAUUUCCUCUCCCUUGAAUUUCAAGCAACAUG
rnacentral:lncRNA from 1 species